GGUGUCGGGGGAAUCGACCCCCUCGGUGUCGUAGCCAACGCGUUAAGUGUUCCGCCUGGGGAGUACGCACGCAAGUGUGAAACUCAAAGGAAUUGACGGGGGCCCGCACAAGCGGUGGAGUAUGUGGUUUAAUUCGAUGCAACGCGAAGAACCUUACCAGGGUUUGACAUCCUGCGAAUCUCUUGGAAACAGGAGAGUGCCUUCGGGAACGCAGUGACAGGUGGUGCAUGGCUGUCGUCAGCUCGUGUCGUGAGAUGUUGGGUUAAGUCCCGCAACGAGCGCAACCCACGUCUUUAGUUGCCAGCAUUUAGUUGGGCACUCUAGAGAGACUGCCGGUGAUAAACCGGAGGAAGGUGUGGAUGGCGUCAAGUCAUCAUGCCCCUUACAUCCUGGGCUACACACGUACUACAAUGCUACGGACAAAGGGCUGCAAGUUCGCGAGGACAAGCAAAUCCCAUAAACCGUGGCUCAGUUCAGAUCGUAGGCUGCAACUCGCCUACGUGAAGGCGGAAUCGCUAGUAAUCGCAGGUCAGCAUACUGCGGUGAAUACGUUCACGGGCCUUGUACACACCGCCCGUCACACCAUGGAAGUUGGCCACGCCCGAAGCCGUUACUCCAACCCUUGUGGAGGAGGACGUCGAAGGUGGGGCUGAUGACUGGGGUGAAGUCGUAACAAGGUAACCGUA
rnacentral:rRNA from 1 species